AUAUUAUUAAUAAAUAAUACAGUCCACACAACAACAAUUAGUUUAUUUGAACCAGCAAAGAAUUUUAAACAUUUUGGUCUUCGAUCCAGAUAAAUAUAAGAUAGAAAAAUAUCUAAAUAGUGUAAAAACUAUCUGGAAUUUAACAACAAUCGAGUGUGUCCAGUGGCCCAGAGAAGAGGCGAAGAAAAAUAUCGAGCGAAGUAACAAGCGAUAGUGACUAACUGACUGAACGACUGCAAUUCAGUAACAGAAGACCCUCCACAGAGCAUAUUAUCCACGAAAAAGCCAUGCAAGAUAACAGUAGAAGCUUCUGGAUGUGCUUCAAGAUUGUCCAAUCCUAACUGCUUCAAACAGCGUAUGGCCAAGUACGCUGCUGACCUGGUAACAUAGAAAGGUAUAGAGCAAUAAAAUGGGGAAUACGUCCAGUUCGACUCAAUUUCGGUGUCGGCCAUAGUUGUAUGUCUUGAAAUAUUGUGUGAGGAUUACUUCGUAGUAGAUUACACAGUUACGUUUUGCGUUUAACAGGUAUCGUUUAGCCUUCUAUUAGUGCUUCUGCUUAAUUUCAGAUUCGGUUUAACCAUGCGCCGUAACGGCAAUGGUACCUUACCCAAAAUUUUUAGACCUUUGUAAUUAUAUUUGUUUGGUUUAACGCAUCAGUAUUUGCUGUUAAGCCGUAAAUAGUGUUCACAGUAUUAUAAGAUUAGUAAUAUAAUAAUUCUCCACUAUCAGUGAAUGAAAAACCUAUUAUUUUAAAUGUACACGAUUGCAUAAAAUACGAUUACC